GGGCCUGUAGCUCAUCAGGAUAGAGCAUCGGCCUUCUAAGCCGAGGGUAACAGGUUCGAAUCCUGUCAGGCCCGCCA
rnacentral:tRNA from 1 species